rnacentral:piRNA from 1 species
UGGAAGUGUAAGCCUAAUAAACCUUUCC